UACGGAGGGAGCUAGCGUUGUUCGGAAUUACUGGGCGUAAAGCGCACGUAGGCGGACAUUUAAGUCAGGGGUGAAAUCCCAGAGCUCAACUCUGGAACUGCCUUUGAUACUGGGUGUCUUGAGUAUGGAAGAGGUGAGUGGAAUUCCGAGUGUAGAGGUGAAAUUCGUAGAUAUUCGGAGGAACACCAGUGGCGAAGGCGGCUCACUGGUCCAUUAC
rnacentral:rRNA from 1 species